UCUGUGGUUUUAUCGCGUGUAAUCCCACACACAACCAUUCCCGGGCAAGCAGAACAGGCAGAGUCCCAGCAAUGACUCCACAACCUGUCUGCAUGGUCACAACAUCUCUAGCUGCCUGAGACGUGCACACAUCACGAGUGUGCCUCAUGCUAGAGGCAAACACAUCGCUGCUUCUUGGAGGCUGCAAGCACCAGUGAGGCACCAGAUUUCACGGGAUGGAUUGGAGCCUCACGACUCCAGGUGCAAGGACAACAAACAGGAAUGCCAGUGGUUACAAAACAUGGACUGUAAGUAACUGGUGGGUAAUUAUGGAGGGACGUGUCUGUGUGGCUCAGCUCCAACAUCAACAGAGGGAAGAGCCUUGCCUAUUGAGUCAUCAGCAGCAUUUCCUUCCAGCCCCUGGGUUUUCCGACAGGUCCCCUCUGAGUUACUGUCCCAACCCACAGUGGUUGAGCUCAUAAAGGCUGCUGAGCUCACAUCCCCAGGGAACAGGGCGCCAGUCCCCCACAGCCAGGAGAGGUUUCCUGGCCACAGCCAUGCUUCAAGGACAUGGUGCCUCACCAGCCUCUUUAUUACAGCAACUGAACUGAAUACCAACAACAUUCCACUUCCAGCCAUCACAGAAGCUUUCAAGACACCCUGUCAUAACCAGCCCUGUCAUAGCCAAACAAGGGCUGCUGGGGAGAGUUUUGGUGCCCCACCCCUUUGGUUAUCCAUGAGCCCCAAACUGUCCACAGCCCGAUUGCCCCCGUGUAGGAACUAGAUUUGUUACCUCAUAAAAAAGUCACUGAAGGGCUUCAACGACAUGCAGGACCUUAGGACUCUCAAACCCUCAUCUCACUGGAUCAGGUGCCAGGUCACACGAACAAAGCAUCAGAGCAGAGUAAUUCCCCAGGUCUGCAGGACAUCUGAAGACAUUUCUGAAGACCAGAUAAGAGGAAGCUGAAAAAUUCAGCUUCAGAACCGCAUGUGUCUCUGAAACAAUAAAUGUUUUGAGUGAUCAGCAUUUCUAGGCAGUGAAACAAAUCAGUGUUUCCAUUCCCGGGGGAAGUGGGAAGCAAGCAAACUCCAUUCCUCUAUUCCAUAGCAUACAGGAAACCUAAGUGAUUGAUAGCAGCAGUAGGGAAAUGCACAUUCAGCUUAUAUUUCCAAUGUAAAUGACUUGCCAGCUCACCCCUCUGCUUCCUGUUCCUUCUCAGCACGCUCCCCCACACACACUCCCGCUGAUCGAUGUAGUGUGUGUGAGUCUGGGAGGAAGAAAGGAAGAAGGACUUGUUAGACUGCUUCCCCCCACCCCAAUUUAAAUGAGAAAGAU